rnacentral:rRNA from 1 species
CCUACGGGAGGCUGCAGUCGAGAAUCAUUCACAAUGGGGGAAACCCUGAUGGGGCGACGCCGCGUGGGGGAAUGAAGGUCUGCGGAUUGUAAACCCCUGUCAUGUGGGAGCAAAUUAAAAAGAUAGUACCACAAGAGGAAGAGACGGCUAACUCUGGGCCAGCAGCCGCGGUAAAACAGAGGUCGCAAGCGGUGGUUGGAAUCACUGGGCGUAAAGCGUGCGUAGGCUGUUUCGUAAGGCGUGUGUGAAAGGCGCGGGCUCAACCCGCGGACGGCACCUGAUACUGCGAGACUAGAGUAAUGGAGGGGGAACCGGAAUUCUCGGUGUAGCCGUGAAAUGCGUAGAUAUCGAGAGGAACACUCGUGGCGAAGGCGGGUUCCUGGACAUUACCUGACACUGAGGCACGAAGGCCCGGGGAGCG